rnacentral:pre_miRNA from 1 species
UUUUUAAUGUACGUAUGUCCUGUGCAAUAUUUAGGACAUAUUUAUACUAAAA